UACGUAGGUGGCAAGCGAUACUCGGAAUUACUGGGCGUAAAGCGUGCGUAGGCGGUUCGUUAAGUCAGCUGUGAAAGCCCCGGGCUCAACCUGGGAACUGCGGUUGAAACUGGCGAACUAGAAUCUGGCAGAGGGGGGUGGAAUUCCACGUGUAGCAGUGAAAUGCGUAGAGAUGUGGAGGAACACCGAUGGCGAAGGCAGCCCCCUGGGCUGAGAUUGACGCUCAGGCACGAAAGCGUGGGGAGCAAACAGG
rnacentral:rRNA from 1 species